rnacentral:rRNA from 1 species
UACGUAGGGUGCGAGCGUUGUCCGGAAUUAUUGGGCGUAAAGAGCUCGUAGGCGGUUUGUCGCGUCUGCUGUGAAAACUCAGGGCUUAACCCUGAGCCUGCAGUGGGUACGGGCAGACUAGAGUGUGGUAGGGGAGAUCGGAAUUCCUGGUGUAGCGGUGGAAUGCGCAGAUAUCGGGAAGAACACCCGUGGCGAAGGCGGCACUCUGGGACGGUACUGACGCUGAGACGCGAAAGCGUGGGGAGCGAACAGG